GUCUCAAUAGACGUGGCGCAGCGGAAGCGCGCCGGGCUCAUAACCCGGAGGACACUGGAUCGAAACCGUAAGGACA